GAUGAACGCUGGCGGCGUGCCUAAUACAUGCAAGUCGAGCGAAUGGAUUAAGAGCUUGCUCUUAUGAAGUUAGCGGCGGACGGGUGAGUAACACGUGGGUAACCUGCCCAUAAGACUGGGAUAACUCCGGGAAACCGGGGCUAAUACCGGAUAAUAUUUUGAACUGCAUGGUUCAAAAUUGAAAGGCGGCUUCGGCUGUCACUUAUGGAUGGACCCGGGUCGCAUUAGCUAGUUGGUGAGGUAACGGCUCACCAAGGCAACGAUGCGUAGCCGACCGGAGAGGGUGAUCGGCCACACUGGGACGGGAACACGGCCCAGACUCCUACGGGAGGCAGCAGUAGGGAAUCUUCCGAAAUGGACGAAAGUCUGACGGAGCAACGCCGCGUGAGUGAUGAAGGCUUUCGGGUCGUAAAACUCUGUUGUUAGGGAAGAACAAGUGCUAGUUGAAUAAGCUGGCACCUUGACGGUACCUAACCAGAAAGCCACGGCUAACUACGUGCCAGCCACCGCCGUAA
rnacentral:rRNA from 1 species